rnacentral:rRNA from 1 species
GUCCACGCCGUAACGAUGAAUGCUAGUUGUUGUGGGUAUUGACCCCGCAGUGACGCAGUUAACGCAUUAAGCAUUCCGCCUGGGGAGUACGGCCGCAAGGCUAAACUCAAAGGAAUUGACGGGGCCCGGCACAAGCGGUGGAGCAUGUGGUUCAAUUCGACGCAACGCGAAGAACCUUACCUGGGUUAAAUCAAUUUGAAUCCUGCAGAAACGCAGGGGUGCCCUUCGGGGAACAGAUUGAAGGUGCUGCAUGGCUGUCGU